UUGUUAAAAAAAAUACCACUUUGCUGAAGAAUUUUCAUAGCUUGGUGAACAACUGUAUCGGUCAUUUCAAAGGUGAAAGACUCGCGAUACUCCUUCCGUUGCAAUAAAAUAAACGAUAAACGAACAACCAAAACCAGAGACAUAAAAUCGUGUUUCAAGGCUUCGCAUAAUGCCUUUAAGCACUUUGUGUCAUCUGCAAAAAUAAACUCGUUCCCGUUUGCCAGUCCAAUAUGCAAGCGAGGGAGCCGAUGUAAAACCAGCUUAGCUGCCGAAGCUUCGCGUUCUCUUUCUCGCGAACGAUUCUUACAGGUUUCGCAAGUGCGGCAAUCUAAUGACGGAAUUCAAUUCGACGCGGUUUUGCGGUGAACUCGGCAAAUUUCCAAAGCGAAUAUCGGGCGAAUUAGACUUCAGCGGCAAGAAAGGUGUUAACUUGCAACACACAGCUCGUUAGCGAAUUUUAAUGUUUCCUUUGAGUAAUAGUAUCCGAAUUUCAUUAUCUUUAUUUAGUAAGUAUAUCACAAUUACGUAUUACAAUUUAUUAAAGUAUUCAAUAGUCAUUUGGAAUAAUUGAUAAUUUUUUAUUUUUUAAAUGCACAUAUAUUAAAUAAUGAUUUGUUAAUAAUUCAGUACUUCCAUCAGUUAUAUAAAUAAUACGAUUAAUAUCUUGCUGCAACUCAAGAAACACUCAUCGAGCUUCGAGACCUAAAGAGUCGAUCAAGAAGAUAAUAGAAGGCGGGGAUUGUAUAGAAUAAAUUAACAGGCGAUGAAUUAACAACCGCAGACACGAACCAUAGAUCUUGUAGAGAGAAGGGCUCUGGAUUCCUUUAUCUCGCAGCUGGAAUCAGACGGAAGGUCGCGCGAUGCGGGAUGUCCGAUUAUAAAAAUAUCCUCAGGUAUUUUUGAGAGGCGAAAAGUCGCUGCAAUAAAACCAGCGAAACCUCGCGAACGACCGUGAUCCCUUGCCAGAUAUGCGAAGAAGUUAGGGUCAACGUUCACCAUUUGUCAUCGCGACUCUGAGAACACACAAUGUGAAAUCUUGUCCUUUAUUUAACUUUAAUUGUAUUCCAAGCGAAAUGAGAAUCUUAUGAUUCAAUUGUCGACGAUUUAUCGCGAUGGAUAUAUCUACCCCUCGAAGGAAAGAAAAAAAUUCACGGCUGGAUGUAACGAAGAAACGUUGACAAAGGAGCUUGACUGUAUAUAAUUCGAGAGAAUAUAAACAGAGGAAAAAGAAAAAGAAGAGGGUGAUAAAGUCACAUGCUGCUGGGAAAGUGCUUUCCCGAGAAUUCUCAGAGUUCGCCUAACCGCUAGAUUGUGAUUAGGCUUGCCUAGGAUUGCCUCAGGAGACGCGUGCACAAGUAGAUUGUGCCUAGCUUGCGUCAGACACUUACGAAGUUCAUGGCCAUUAUGCGGAUUCAAAUGAACAAAUAUGCGGAUGUAAUCUAUGAUGUUCAAGAAUACAUUAUGCGUUUGAAGACUUUGAAGACGCGAAUAUGCUAAUGUUCUUCAACGUUGCUUAUAUUAAGCGUUAUCGAUGAUUUUUUUGCAUUUUUUGGGAACCUGAAACACCUCUGCUUUCAACAUUAUCGUUCAAUGACCGCACGAUGGUGUCUCCAAAAGAGGAGAAAUGAUUGAACGGAUACUACUUAAUUAGCAUACGUCGUCGUUUGAAUGAUAAACGAAAAGAGCCGUCCGAAAGCGAAGAGAACACUUUACACACUAUGACGAAUCGACUAAAGUACCAUGAUAUAUCAACGACGAAAAGUUUCCACUCUCUUUUGAUUUUGAAAUGCAUGACAUUGCGCAAAUAGGACUAAUAUUAAAUAAA